rnacentral:rRNA from 1 species
GGGGAACCAGGACUUUUACUGUGAAAAAAUUAGAGUGCUCCAGGCAGGCCUAUGCUCGAAUACAUUAGCAUGGAAUAAUAGAAUAGGACGUGUGGUUCUAUUUUGUUGGUUUCUAGGACCGCCGUAAUGAUUAAUAGGGACAGUCGGGGGCAUCAGUAUUCAAUUGUCAGAGGUGAAAUUCUUGGAUUUAUUGAAGACUAACUACUGCGAAAGCAUUUGCCAAGGAUGUUUUCAUUAAUCAGGAACGAAAGUUAGGGGAUCGAAGACGAUCAGAUACCGUCGUAGUCUUAACCAUAAACUAUGCCGACUAGGGAUCGGACGGUGUUAUUUUUUGACCCGUUCGGCACCUUACGAGAAAUCAAAGUGCUUGGGCUCCAGGGGGAGUAUGGUCGCAAGGCUGAAACUUAAAGAAAUUGACGGAAGGGCACCACCAGGGGUGGAGCCUGCGGCUUAAUUUGACUCAACACGGGGAAACUCACCAGGUCCAGACACAAUGAGGAUUGACAGAUUGAGAGCUCUUUCUUGAUUUUGUGGGUGGUGGUGCAUGGCCGUUCUUAGUUGGUGGAGUGAUUUGUCUGCUUAAUCGCGAUAACGAACGAGACCU